rnacentral:lncRNA from 1 species
GUAGCUCAUAUUAUGAAAUGUGUGCUGUUGUAUUGUACCCAAGACAAAGUAACUAACAUCAAACUGAUCCCUCACUUCCUUAUGCCGCCUUGGACGUCAACCAUCGCCAAGUGAUCUCGGAUUAUCCUGACCUGCGUUACAAUUACACCUUCUAGGAAUCUGGGUGUUAUUGAGUUGGUGAAAAGCAUGGUGGUCAGUACGUAUCAGGCUGCUAGUGGAGCUGCUGCUGCUAUGAUAGAGCUUGAGCAGCAAACUCAUGAGGUUCUGGAAGGGAAGCCAGUAACUUCUGAGAUAUUUCAGCGGCUGUUCAGCGGUUUUUCCAAAUGGAUAUAAUGAAGAGGAAAUGAAACUAGUCAAGAAGACACAAUAAACAUGGAAUGACAAGGAUGUCAAGGA